rnacentral:sRNA from 1 species
GGCUACAUGGGAAAGAUGUUCAUGGCUGCUACCAACUACCUCCCCACCCAGGUGUCAGACAUGAUGCAUCAGGACAGGGCUUUUGCCACCGCACGCUUGAACUUCUCCGGACAGAGGAACAUCUGUACCCUCUCAACGAUCCAGAAGUUGCCACGGCUGCUAGUUGCAUCAUCCAAUGGACACCUUUAUAUGUACAAUUUGGAUCCUCAGGAUGGAGGAGAGUGUGUCUUAAUCAAAACCCACAGGUGAAGAGACUGCUUUUCAAAAGACAGCCUUUCGAGAGCUGGUCGUGUAGAGUUGUCCCUUCACCAAGAACAACGACAAGCUUCAGUGCCCUUGCGUUGAUUUGUUCUUCACUGGCAGUCUCAGUGGCAAACCUCUAGUGGGCAAGUGCUCUGCACCGGGCUCUGUGUCAGGCGCCCUCAGCAUGUGGUAAUCAUCUGGAAAAGUGCCAGGAUUAAUAACACACAAGAUGGUCUCCCCUUCGGCCUGAGCUCACAGUGGGUGUUCAAAAAUAUUCCCUGCCACCAGGCGUGGCGGCUCACACCUGUAAUCCCAGCACUUUGGGAGGCCAAAGCGGGUGAUGGCUUGAGUCCAGGCGUUCAAGACCAGCAUGGGCAACAUGGUGAAACCCCAUCUGUACCAAAAACAAAUACAAAAAUUAGUCGGGUGUAGUGGCACACACCUGUAGUCCCAGCUACUCGGGAGGCUGAGGUGGGAGAGUCACCUGAGCCUGGAGAGGUUGAGGCUGCAGUGAGCCAUGAUCACACCAUUGCACUCCAGCCUGGGCAACAGAGUGAGACCCUGUCUCAAAA